rnacentral:rRNA from 1 species
UACGGAAGGCAGCAGGGGGAAUAUUGGACAAUGGGCGAAAGCCUGAUCCAGCCAUGCCGCAUGAGUGAAGAAGGCCUUCGGGUUGUAAAGCUCUUUUAGUGAGAAAGAUAAUGACGGUACUCACAGAAGAAGUCCUGGCUAACUCCGUGCCAGCAGCCGCGGUAAUACGGAGAGGGCUAGCGUUAAUCGGAAUUACUGGGCGUAAAGGGCACGCAGGCGGUUAAUUAAGUUGGAUGUGAAAUCCCCCGGGCUUAACCUGGGAAAUGGGCAUUCAAGACUGGUUAGCUAGAGUCUUGUAGAGGGGGUAGAAUUCCAUGUGUAGCGGUGAAAUGCGUAGAGAUGUGGAGGAAUACCGGUGGCGAAGGCGGCCCCUGGACAAAGACUGACGCUCAUGUGCGAAAAGCGUGGGGAGCAAACAGGGAUUUAGAUACC